AGGAAAUACAGUGAAAUUCUCCCAAAAGAAAAAUUUUGUUGUUAUCGAAACUUAGUUUCUAUACAAGUCAAUAGAUGGCAGCCUUGUACACAUAAGAGCAAAAUCAUUUGCUGUAAUAACAAACUAGAUGGCGUUGGCAACCACUAACAUAUGAACACAAACUGUUCCUACCCACAUAUACGAAAAAUACAGCAGCAUACUUUUUACGUACAACUAAGUUAGUAAGUAAGCACCUUAGCGAUGCGAGAAUGGAAGACAGGUUAUUUUAGUUACUUUAGUUCUUGCCGUUCGUAAAUGGUAAGUACCUAUGUAUUAGGUAUGUACUUAUAGCAAAACAGACUGACCAUGUCUCGUAAGUUGUGCCCAAGUUACACAAAACUUUAUAAGAGAUGAUUAUGAUAAUUAAUCUACAGGUGCGAUACUAUACAUUUUUUUGAGGAAACCUUGUGACUCGAUUUGAAAAACUAGGUAUCCACGAGUAACAUGGCUAUAUUUUGACUAAUGUCCGACCGAACUUUCGGUUUCGGUUUCGGUUUCGGCCGAGUUUCGGCCAAAAAUCAAGUUUCGGCUGCAGUUUCGGUUUCGGCCAAAAUCGGCCGAAACUUUUGCCGAAACCGAAACUUAUCUCGCAAGGUCACGCACGUUCGCCUAACUUCGUUUUCCGCGGCAAAGCUGUGUCGUAAGCCGUCGGCUCUGUUCGGGAAUCAUCGUGUGCCGUUCGGAUAGCUCCGUAGUUAUGCAAUAAAACUUAGUCAGUGCGUGUGCGUCCGACGGAAACAUUAUUUGGAGGUUAUGUUUUGAUGGAACUGAUAACAUAGUAAAAUGUCACAACGAGAAAUAAAUCCGAUUUGGCAGUACUUUGAUAAAAGUAUCAGUGAUACAUCAAAAGCUGUUUGCAAGUAUUUAUUGUAUUAAAUAAAUGAUUACAAUACCUACAACAAACUGAAUUAA
rnacentral:lncRNA from 1 species